AGGAGGAGAGUGGACAGAAGAUGGAGGCUGACAUCACUGUGCUGCUCACAUUCAUCCCACUGCUGUUUUUAUCUGCUGAGAGUUUGAGAUUCUAGGAGCAUGGACACAGUUAGUUGUUGUCUUUGUGAAGGCUGUGAUGUCCAACCUGCUGCACAUGAUCUGCUGUUACACUCUGAGUCUGACAUUCACUUUAUCCUCAUCUGUUUCAGGGUUCCCCACUGGAUGGGAUUGUUGGUUUAAUUCUCAGUUUUGUUGCUGGUAUUCUUCUAACUCUGCUUGUAAUAUGUUGUUGGCAAAAAAUCGAAGAAAGGUUCACGAUCAAACACAAUUUAAAGAGUCCAGUGAGUCAGAGCAGAACCUGAUCAGGACUCUGAUCUACCUUUACAUGAGCUGUGAGGUCGGCUGUUGGAGGAUGAAGUCAUAAUUUCUCUGUUAAACUCAUGGAAACUUUGUCUUUAAAAUGAAGCCAAUCAUUAUUAUGAUAUUUACCAAACCAUAACUGUACAUUAACCAGAGUUGAUUUGAUCUCUCCCUCAUUAUCUAACCUCAGUUCUACAUAAACUACACUGCAGUUUCCCUGAAGGACCACAUGUAAGUUCAGUGACUGAGUUACACUGUGGUCAGUUCCAUAGAGACAGACUGGAGUUCACACAGUGACCGAUCAGAUUAUUAAUGAACCUGCCAUCAGUGUGUGUGUGUGUGUGUGUGUGUGUGAAUGACAGGUGUAAAUAUUAAAGCUCUUUGAAGAAAAGUGUCUUCUAAAUUCAUCAGUUCUCAGAUCUGAUCAAACUGCUUGUAGCUGUUGACUGAGUUGGACAUGUUUAUUUUCAUAUCUGUGUUAUUGAGGUUAUCUGGGACAAUCAUGUUGCUUCACAACAGUUUGAAUAAAAGCUGAAAACUAUCAAACUGGA